rnacentral:rRNA from 1 species
ACGAACGCUGGCGGCAGGCUUCACACAUGCACGUCGAGCGCCCCGCACGGGGAGCGGCAGACGGGUGAGUAACGCGUGGGAACGUACCUUUUGGUUCGGAACAACUCCGGGAAACUGGAGCUAAUACCGGAUAAGCCCUAACGGGGAAAGAUUUAUCGCCGAAAGAUCGGCCCGCGUCUGAUUAGCUAGUUGGUGAGGUAACGGCUCACCAAGGCGACGAUCAGUAGCUGGUCUGAGAGGAUGAUCAGCCACACUGGGACUGAGACACGGCCCAGACUCCUACGGGAGGCAGCAGUGGGGAAUAUUGGACAAUGGGCGCAAGCCUGAUCCAGCCAUGCCGCGUGAGUGAUGAAGGCCUUAGGGUUGUAAAGCUCUUUUGUCCGGGAAGAUAAUGACUGUACCGGAAGAAUAAGCCCCGGCUAACUUCGUG